AUUGAACGCUGGCGGCAUGCCUUACACAUGCAAGUCGAACGGCAGCACGGGAGCAAUCCUGGUGGCGAGUGGCGAACGGGUGAGUAAAGUAUCGGAACGUGCCCAGUCGUGGGGGAUAACGUAGCGAAAGCUACGCUAAUACCGCAUACGAUCUAUGGAUGAAAGCGGGGGACCGCAAGGCCUCGCGCGAUUGGAGCGGCCGAUAUCAGAUUAGGUAGUUGGUGGGGUAAAGGCCCACCAAGCCGACGAUCUGUAGCUGGUCUGAGAGGACGACCAGCCACACUGGGACUGAGACACGGCCCAGACUCCUACGGGAGGCAGCAGUGGGGAAUUUUGGACAAUGGGCGCAAGCCUGAUCCAGCAAUGCCGCGUGCAGGAUGAAGGCCUUCGGGUUGUAAACUGCUUUUGUACGGAGCGAAAAGGCUCUCACUAAUACUGGGGGCUCAUGACGGUACCGUAAGAAUAAGCACCGGCUAACUACGUGCCAGCCGCCGCAGUAA
rnacentral:rRNA from 1 species